rnacentral:misc_RNA from 1 species
UGCCGCUGUCAGUGCUGUCAGUCCAUGAGUAAUGUUGCGUGGUGAUGUUUCUUUUUAUGUUUUUAUUUUAGUGAACAUCAAAAGCUUACAUUUCAUUGUAUGAUUUUGUGUAAUUAAAUUACCCCUGAGUUGUUUUUAAGUAGUGAAUUAUGAAUUAGUUAUCAAAAUAAUAAUUUGAAUGUAGGUGAAUAGUUAUUGUGUUUUGUUAUUUGAACAUGAAGGUGGACGUUGUUUGGAGGCGUCGCGGAGCUGCACAACUAGCAGUUUGCCUGGUGGUCUUGGUGGCGUGUGCUGCGUCAUCACCGGGCGCUCACGCCGCUGGCCCGCUGGGCCCCUCCGAACGGCCGGAGGCCUACUUCAACGGCACCGCCUACAUUCGGCUGUCCAGGCCCAUAUCACUCAAGCAACUCGUUGGACUCAGUUUUCGGACAUGUGUAGGAGGCGAGUUAUUCUCGCAGCGGUUCGAGGGGUACACGCUGCAUGUGACGGCGCUGUUCGAGCAGGUGGUGGUCUCGUGGGCCCGGCCCUCGCAUCUCCACCGCAAGGUGGGCCUGGCCAAGGAGACGCUCGACAACCGCUGGCACUGGGUCGGACUGCGCUACAACUCCGACCCCCCCUCACUGCUGCUGGAAGUCGAUAAGGAUACACAGAUAAUAUCGAACGUGACGUGGAACCCGGAGCUGCUGUCGCCGGGGCUGCUGGAGGCGGGCGGCGCCACGCUGCUGGUGGGCAACCUGUUCAGCGGCUGCAUCCACGAGGGCCCGCAGCUCGAGUUCUUCGCCGCCACCACGCAGCACCGCAACGCCUUGUUCGAGCACUGCCCCCUCACCACUGACGACUGUAUUGACAGAAAGGAUGUGUUGCGCAUCCAGCCUAAGGACUACUGCUACAACGAGCCCUGCAUGCGACACGGCACCUGCAUAUCUCGACAUGACAGAUACGAGUGCCACUGCACGGCACGCUACACAGGCAACAACUGCGAGGUGGACGCGGGGGACCCGUGCGAGCCGGGCCCCUGCCAGAACGGGGGCCGCUGCGUCGAGGACACGCGCGGCGACUACACCUGCGACUGCCCUGCCAACUACCAUGGCACAUACUGCGAGCUGGAAGUGUCGCUGGACCCGCAGUGCGUGGCCGGCCCCUGCCGCAACAACGGCAGCUGCAGCGUGCCGCCCGGCGCCGACUCCUACGUCUGUGACUGUCCGCCAGGCUACACGGGCCGCAACUGCGAGACGGACAUAGACGAGUGCGCGACGUCGCCCAGCGCCUGCCUCAACGGCGGCGUGUGCCAGGACGCCGUCAACAACUUCACGUGCGACUGCACCGGCACCGGGUACACGGGCGCGCGCUGCGAGCUGAACGUGAACGAGUGCGAGGAGCGCGGCGUGUGCGGGCACGGCGUGUGCUACGACACGUACGGCGGCUUCGUGUGCGCGUGCCAGCUGGGCUACGCGGGCGCGCGCUGCGGCGACGUGUCGGCGUGCGCGUCGGGCCCGUGCGGCGCGGGCGGCGCGUGCGUGGAGGAGGCGGGCGGCGCCGGCUUCCGCUGCGUGUGCGCGCGCGGCUACCUGCCGCCCUACUGCGCGCCCGCCGCGCCCGCCGCCUCCUGCCAGGACAUCGUGUGUCCGCCGCACUCGCACUGUAUACCAAACAUGAUGGUAACCGGAGUCAUAGCCAAGCAAGUGAUGUGCGUGUGCGACGUCGGAUACUACGGCGCGCCGGGCGUGUCGCCCAACUGCAGCAGCCUGGAGGCGGUGUGCGAGGCGGGCGCCUGCCUCAACGGCGCCACGUGCUCGCUGGCCGCCGACCACUUCAACUGCUCCUGCGCGCCCGGAUACAAAGGCGUGUACUGCGAGCAGGCGGUCGGCAAGGCGCUGUCGGACCUGAAGGCGGCGGAGCGCUGCGCCAGCGGGCCCUGUCUGCACGCCAAGUCCUGCCAGGAGCUCCCGAGCGGGUUCCGCUGCGAGUGCGAGGCGGGCUGGGGCGGCUUGCGCUGCGACGCGCCCGAGCCGUGCCCGCGCGGCUGCGCUAACGGCGGCGCGUGCCGCGACGGCGCCUGCGCCUGCCGCCCCGGCUGGGCCGGCGCCGCCUGCGAGCUGGCGGCCGACUGCCGCGCCGCGCCCUGCGCGCCCAACUACGAGUGCGUGGAGAGCGCCGCCGCCUGGCGCUGCGCCCCCGCCGCGCAGGACUCCGCCUGCGCCUCCUCGCCCUGCCACAACGGCACCUGCCUGGCGCUCGACAACGGCCUCUUCCGCUGCCAGUGCCUGCCCGGCCAGACCGGUCGAUUUUGCGAUAUGGACAUAGACGAAUGUGCAAUAAUGCCGAAAAUAUGUAACCACGGAGUAUGCUUCAACGUUCCCGGAUCGUACGAGUGCUACUGCAGGCCCGGCUAUACGGGCGACAGCUGCGAACAGGACAUUGACGAGUGCCUAUCAUCACCCUGUAAGAACGGCGGAACCUGUCAGAACCUCGAAAAUAACUACGAGUGCACCUGCAAGGAAGGAUUCGAAGGCAAGGACUGUUCGACGAACAUAAACGAGUGCGAGGCGAACCCGUGCGCGGCGGGGUCCACGUGCCUGGACGGCAUCGCCAGCUACUCGUGCGUGUGCCAGGAGGGGCUGACGGGGCCCACCUGCGAGAUCGACAUCGACGACUGCGAGUCGCAGCCGUGCCAGCACGGCGGGCGCUGCGUGGACGGCGUGAACAGCUUCGCGUGCGAGUGCGGCGGCACGGGCUACACGGGCGACGACUGCUCCAGCAACAUCGACGAGUGCGCGCCGCAGCCCUGCCGCCACGGCGGCACCUGCGUCGACGACGUCAACGACUACCACUGCAACUGCUACGCCGCCUACACCGGCAAGAACUGCGAGAUCGACAUCAGCGAGUGCGAGAGCUCGCCGUGCAAGUUCGGCGGCGUGUGCCUGGAGCGGUCCAACGCGUCGCUGUACCGCGCCGCCGACGCGCCGCGCCUGCAGGUGGGCCCGCAGCCGCAGAUGCUGCUGCCCGCCGCCUUCUACCAGCCCUUCUCCCUCGACACGGCUGCCGGAUACGAGUGCGUGUGCGUGUCGGGCACGGCGGGCCCGCGCUGCGAGACCAACAUCGACGAGUGCGCCCCCGCGCCCUGCGAGGCCGGCAAGUGCGUCGACCUCAUCGGCUCCUACAAGUGCGAGUGCUUCGCCGGCUACGAGGGCGAGCACUGCGAGAUCGAGAUCGACGAGUGCCAGAGGUACGCGCCGUGCGCGCACGGCAAGUGCUACGACGGGCGCGCGGCCUACUACUGCCUGUGCGAGCGCGGCUGGGGCGGGCAGAACUGCUCCGUGGUGCUGCAGGGCUGCGCCGCCGCGCCCUGCCGCAACAACGGCACGUGCCACCCCUGGCUGCGCGACGAGACCGAGCACCGCUUCAACUGCUCCUGCACGCCCGGCCACUACGGCACCACCUGCGAGAAGAUCACGACGAUGUCGCUGGAGAAGAGCAGCUACGCGGAGGUGAACACGACGCGCGAGGAGGGCUACGACAUCUCGUUCCGCUUCAAGACCACGCUGGGCAACGGCCUGCUGGCCAUGGGCCGGGGACUCACCUACUUCUUCCUGGAGCUCUCCAACGGCCGCCUCAACCUGCACUCCAGCCUGCUCAACAAGUGGGAGGGAGUCUUCAUCGGAUCCAACUUGAAUGACAGCCAUUGGCAAAAGGUGUUCGUGACGAUCAACUCGUCGCACCUGGUGCUGGCGGCGAACGAGGAGCAGACGAUCUACCCCAUCAGCCAGAACGAGGCGUACAACUCGUCCGUGACGUCGUUCCCGUCCACGCGGCUCGGCACCUACGGCUCGUCCUACGCCACGCUCACGCACGGACCCAACUUCUUCGUCGGCUGCUUCCAGGACGUCGUCGUCAACGGACAGUGGGUGCUGCCGGAGGAGGCGCACGCGGGCGCGGAGACGACGACGGAGGCGGCGGCGGGCGGCGCGGAGGGCUCGGGCCCGCGCGCGCGCGCGCUGCUGCACGGCGUGCUGGCGCAGUGCCCGCGCGUGCCGCAGUGCGCGCCCAACCCCUGCCGCUCCGGCGGCGCCUGCCUCGACGCCUGGACGUCCUUCGUGUGCACCUGCCCGCGCCCGCACCUGGGCGACACCUGCCAGUACAACUACACGGCGGCCACGUUCGGGCAGGAGGCGGCGGCGCGGCGCGCGGUGGUGCGCGUGCUGGUGGCGGAGGCGGCGCGGCGCGGCGUGCGGGCGGCGCUCGACAUCUCCAUGUUCAUCCGCACGCGCAAGCCCACCGGACACAUCUUCUACCUCGGCUCGCGCGCCAGGUUCGGUCAAACGGACGAGACGCAAGUGGGCGCAUCGCUGGAGGGCGGGGAGCUGCUGCUGCACCUGCGCUUCAACCAGACGCCGGAGAACUACACGGUGGGCGGCACGCGCCUCGACAACGGCUACCUGCACCUCAUCGAGGUGGUGCGCAACUCCACGCUGGUGCAGGUCAAGCUCAACGGCACCGAGUACUUCCGCAAGUCCAUAUCGGCCGCCAAGCAGAUUGACGCACAGGUGCUGUACUUGGGUGGACCACCGCCACCAUUGGUGGACAGCAGCACUGAAGUGCCGUCCCCGGUCCCGGUAGCGGCGGCGCAGGCGCAGAUGCCCCCCGCGUCGCAGCUGCCCGCGUCCCCCGCCGCCGCGAGCCCCACGGCCCCCGCGGUGUCGCCGGCGCCCGCGCUGCCGCUGUCCACGCCGGCCCCCGCGCCGCCCACCCCCGCGCCGCCCGCCGCCGCCGAGCCCGACGACAGCGCCUACUUCAAGGGCGUCAUACAGGACGUGCAGAUCUCGAACGGCGUGAACGUGUCCAUCGUGGAGUUCUUCCCGCUGAACGUGCCGGGGCUGCAGCUGCCGCCCGCCUUCGGCGAGGUGUGGCUGGACCCCGCCGGCGUGCUGCCCGGCGUCGUGUCCGACGACCUCUGCGCCGAGCGGCCCUGUCUGCACAACGCCACCUGCACCAACACAUGGAACGACUACAUAUGUCAGUGUCCUCGCGGGUACAAAGGCAAGCAGUGCUCGGAGGUGGAGUUCUGUCAGCUGCAGGGCUGUCCGCUCAACUCGCACUGUCGCAACCUCGAUGCUGGGUACGAGUGCGUGUCGAACGCGACGUUCGACGGCGUGAACACGACGCUGACGUACAAGCUGCGGGUGCCGCGCACCGGCAACAUCGCGGCGGAGUCGGAGGCGGAGCUGCCCGACUCGCUGACCAUCACGUACCGCAGCAAGUCGGGCGGCACGCUGUUCCACGCGGAGCACGCGGGCUCGUGGUUCACGGUGGGCGUGUUCCGCGGCCAGGUGGCCGUGCAGUGGCGCGUGGGCGGCGCCGGGCUGCCCGCGCUGCGCCGCCUGCGCGCCGCCGGCCACGCCGCCUGGACCUCGCUGCGGCUCUCGCUGGCCGGCAACACGCUGCGCGGCGCCUUCCUGGAGCCCGCCGGCCACGAGGAGCUGGCGCUGGCGGCCGCCAUCGACACGCGCGCGUGGCAGCGCCUCGUCAUGGAGGGCACCAUCACGCUGGGCGGCCUGCGCCCCGGCGCCGCCGCCGCCACCACGCUGCCGCCCUCCCUGCCUACCACUAUGAGUGAAAGUUCAACGGAUCCGAACGUGUGGGAAUACUCGGAAGGCGAAGAAGUGACUGGCGACAAUUUAGCCGGAGAAUACUUCAAGGGCUGCAUGGGCGCGGUGCACGUGGGCGGGCUGCUGCUGCCGUUCUUCACGGAGGAGGAGCUGUUCGUGGGCGCCACGGCGGCGCUGCUGGCCGCGCAGCCGCACUACGCGCUCAUGUGAGUACCGCGCCAGUGCCAGUGCCAGUGUGUGACGUCACGGAGGAGGAGCUGUUCGUGGGCGCCACGGCGGCGCUGCUGGCCGCGCAGCCGCACUACGCGCUCAUGUCGGGGCGGCCGUGGGGCUCGGCGGCGGGCGUGGGCUGCGUGCUGUGCCUGGAGCGGGACUGCGCUAACGGCGGACACUGCGCCGACGUCAGGUCCUCCUACUCCUGCGCCUGUCCCGCCGGCUACACUGGAGACUACUGC